rnacentral:rRNA from 1 species
GACGUAGGGCGCGAGCGUUGUCCGGAUUUAUUGGGCGUAAAGAGCUCGUAGGCGGCUCGUUGCGUCAACCGUGAAAACCCGGGGCUUAACUUCGGGCUUGCGGUUGAUACGGGCGGGCUGGAGUUCGGUAGGGGAGACUGGAAUUCUUGGUGUAGCGGUGGAAUGCGCAGAUAUCAGGAGGAACACCGGUGGCGAAGGCGGGUCUCUGGGCAGUAACUGACGCUGAGGAGCGAAAGCGUGGGGAGCGAACAGG